rnacentral:rRNA from 1 species
UGUGUGUUAAGUGGAAAAGGAUGUGGGAUUUCGAAGACAACUAGGAUGUUGGCUUAGAAGCAGCCACUCAUUUAAAGAGUGCGUAAUAGCUCACUAGUCGAGAGAUCCUGCGCCGAAAAUGUACCGGGGCUAAACUUACCACCGAAGCUACGGAUUUGCAAGUAAUUGCAAGUGGUAGGGGAGCGUCGUAAUCGGGCUGAAGUCGUACCGGAAGGAGCGGUGGACUGAUUACGAGUGAGAAUGUUGGCAUUAGUAGCGAGAUGUAGGUGAGAAUCCUACAGGCCGAAUAUCUAAGGUUUCCUCAGGAAGGCUCGUCCGCUGAGGGUUAGUCGGGACCUAAGCCGAGGCCGAAAGGCGUAGGCGAUGGACAAUCGGUUGAUAUUCCGAUACCACUACCAUCGUUAUUAUCGAGGGUGUGACGGAGAAGGAUAGUGUGUGCUAGCGAUUGGAAAUGCUAGUCUAAGCGUUUAGGGAGUUACGGUAGGCAAAUCCGCUGUAACAAUUCUGAGGCGUGAUGGGGAAGGUCAUUAAGACCGAAGUACAUGAUUCCAUGCUUCCAAGAAAAGCAUCUAGAGAGAGAAGUAGUGCCCGUACCGCAAACCGACACAGGUAGAUGAGGAGAGAAUCCUAAGGCCGGCGGAAGAAUUGCAGUUAAGGAACUAGGCAAAUUGACCCCGUAAGUUCGCGAGAAGGGGUGCCUGCGAGAGCAGGCCGCAGAGAAUAGGCCCAAGCAACUGUUUAGCAAAAACACAGGUCUCUGCUAAAGCGUAAGCUGAUGUAUAGGGGCUGACGCCUGCCCGGUGCUGGAAGGUUAAGGGGAACACUUAGCGCAAGCGAAGGUGUGAACUUAAGCCCCAGUAAACGGCGGCCGUAACUAUAACGGUCCUAAGGUAGCGAAAUUCCUUGUCAGGUAAGUUCUGACCCGCACGAAUGGCGUAAUGACUUGGGCACUGUCUCAACUGCAAAUCCGGCGAAGUUGUAGUGCGAGUGAAGAUGCUCGCUACCCGCGAUUGGACGGAAAGACCCCGUAGAGCUUUACUGUAGCUUAGCAUUGAAUUCCGGUAUUGUCUGUACAGGAUAGGUGGGAGACUGGGAAACUAGGGCGUCAGCCUUAGUGGAGUCAACCUUGGGAUACCACCCUGACAGUACUGGGGUUCUAACAGGACGCCAUGAAGCUGGUGACUGGACAUUGUUAGGUGGGCAGUUUGACUGGGGCGGUCGCCUCCUAAAAAGUAACGGAGGCGCCCAAAGGUUCCCUCAGAACGGUCGGAAAUCGUUCGUAGAGUGCAAAGGCAGAAGGGAGCCUGACUGCGAGACCCACAAGUCGAGCAGGGACGAAAGUCGGGCUUAGUGAUCCGGUGGUACCUCGUGGGAGGGCCAUCGCUCAACGGAUAAAAGCUACCUCGGGGAUAACAGGCUGAUCUCCCCCAAGAGUCCACAUCGACGGGGAGGUUUGGCACCUCGAUGUCGGCUCAUC